CGGACGAGGAAACUAGCGUCGAGCAGGCGGCCAGAGGAGGUAAACGCUGUGAACAUACCGCCAGCAUAUAAGAGAGUACGAAUUCCAUCUGCCAUGUUCACAGCGCUAUCCCCAGAACCUACAAAAGUGUCGGCUUCUAGCAGGUGAUCGCUAAAUAUUUUUUGAGGAAAUAAACGAAUGACUCAUGUGCUGGAGGGGGACUGUGGGACAAGCAUCCAGGAGGACUGGACAUCUCCAAGAGGGACGUCUGAGCAAACAAGAAUGUCCCACACGUGGAGGUCACUAAGCCCAGGCUGUAUCUGAGAUGGUUCUAAGAGAGUAAGAGAGAAUGGACAGAAAGAAACCGGAUCGUCUCCUGUGCCCCCAGCGCCUGCACAAAGCCUGGCACACAGCAGGUGUUGCGUGUUGGUUGACUGAAUUAAUAGAUGAACCUGCUCUUCGGCGAGGAGUGAGCCUUCCUGUGCAUAAGGGGCUCGAGCAGGAAGACAGCUGGCCGAGAGCGUGCGCUGGGGUCCAGAAGGUUGCCUCAGCUUCACGGGUGCCCAUGGAUAACGUGUUGUGGUUCCCCGGAGACUCUGGGCGGGAGGAAGUGGGACCAUAGAGAGGGGCCCACGUGGGUAGAGCGUCUACCUCCGAGAGGUGGAACUUCAUUGGGCGAGUGGGUAGCCAAUGAGGAAGCUCCCUGAGGAAGAGCCCGGCCCUGGAACUGGGCCGAGGCACCGCCCCCGCGGAGGCAGCCCCGCUCCUCCCCGUCCCUGACCCGGGUGCCCCAGAGGCGAACUCUCGGGACUCCCGGGCUGUUUGGUAGCCUGAGAGGCCCCCGAAGGCCUCUGGGCUACGCCUUCAUCAGCUGCCUUCCUGUGUGACAGCGCCAGACUUCAUCCUUCAGGGGGCCUCCAUUGCCUCAGGUUCCUCUUUUUUUGAGACGGAGUUUCGGUCUUGACUCCCAGGCUGGAGUGCAGUGGCGUGAUCUCGGCUCACGGCAACCUCCACCUCCCGGGUUCAAGCGACUCUCCUGCCUCAGCCUCCCGAGUAGCUGGGAUUACAGGCGCCCGCCACCAUGCCCAGCUAAUUUUUGUAUUUUUAGUAGAGGCGGGUUUCACCAUGUUGGCCAGGCUGGUCUCGAACUCCUGACCUCAGGUGAUCCACCCGUCUGGGUCUCCCAAAGUGCUGGCAUGAGCCACUGCGCCUGGCAGGUUCCUUUUCAUCUAGGCAGAGGCCUUCAAGGGUUAGCUCUGGUUUAACAAAAUGGAUUCAGUGCUUCCUGUACCAGGCGCUGGUCUAGGCUGUUUUUUGCUUUUCCUUUCCCUCCCUCCCUCCCUUCCUUCCUUCCUUCCUUCCUUCCUUCCUUCCUUCCUUCCUUCCUUCCUUCUUCGCUUCUCUUCUCUUCCCUUCCUUUCUGUUUCUUUCGCAUAAUGCAUUUAUUUUAUCAUAAUUGUAGUGACACGGGAGCUUUCAGAAUGCAGACUCGAAGAUACACGGUGAUCUAUGUGAAUGGUCUGGGCUCUGAGGAUACACCUUCAGACCCUCUCCUCAUGGCCUCACUGUCUGUGGGUGGAAACACAGUAAACAAACCCGUAGUCUCCUCUAUAAUUACACAUUGAGUAAGUGUGUCAAGAAACAAAAUAAUGGGGCAUAAUUCAGGUAGCACUACUGGGAAAGUGACAUUUGAGCUGAACUAGAGAGCAGGGCACCAUUGGCAGUUGGAGAAGUCUCCACGCCGAGGGAACAACAUGAGAGAAGUCCCCAAAGCUGAGAUGAGUGUUCUGCAUGCGGGCCCGAGCAGCCAGGCUAGACGGGGAGGCCCGAGGUAAGAGCAGAGGAGAGCAGGCCGUGCAGAACUCCUUUGACUGUUUUUAUAAUAGGAGUUUAGAUGUUUUUUUUCUUGGGAUACUGGGAAGCCACUGAAUAUUUUUACAGGGAAGCGCCAUGUGAUUUUCAAAUAAUUACUGUGACUUUGUGUGUAGAACAGCUUGGGGAAGAGGAAGAAGAUUUCUGUUGAGGUGGCUGAAUUUUCCUCUUUAUGGCAAUUAGAGGCAAUUUGAGAUGAGGCAACACCCAGAACCUUGAGUUGAAGGGCAGUACAUCAGAAGAGGCACAGAUUAUCCCUAAUCCUCUCCAGAAAUAUAUGUGCUUGCGUGUGGCCUUGGGCAAACGACUUUCAGGACUGAGAGAAGGAGUGGAGGGAGGGGGGCAUGCAUGGGAUGUCUCACAAGCCACAUAGGUCUGCCCAGGUGUCCCGCACAUCUCAGUGCAUUCCCUAUAACCUGUCCCAGAGUGGUUUUCCUUUACUAUCACAAUCCCAAUUUUCCCAGCUGAACCCUUCUCCGGUCCUGGGCAGCUGUGAGGCAGAACUUGCAUUCCUGGGUUCUGCCAUUUCCUUGCUAGAAGCCCCCAGCCUUCUUGCUUCCAUUUUCUGGUUCCUGAGAGGCACUUGCCUGUAAGAAAUCUGACUCCCUGAAUCCAUAGUUGAAUCAGGGUUCAAGCAGUUCAUAGCAAGUGAAAAAUGUCCUUUCUGGCCACCCAGCAGUGAUUGGAGAGGAGGCUGAGUUGAUAGUCUUCCAGGCUGUAGAGACCAUGAGAGCAGGGAUGUAGCAGGUCCUCAGUAAGUUACUUGUUGUAUAGAUGGUACCUUCAUCAAGAUUUAUCAAUUCUAAGGUGCCAUCAACUGUAGGAAACACUGUCAAUUCAUUGACAACUUUUCAGGACAUACAAAAGGUAGACAUGACAUUAAAUAUACACACCAAUUAUAAGACACAUUCUAACAGGAACACCAACAUGUGAAAAAACAAUGCAUACAUUUGAGAGUCGAGAACUUGUGUAGUAACAAUCAUCUCUCUAAGAACCAGUUUGCAAACCAACUUGUGUGGCCAAUUUAGCUGUGAAGGGCUUGUUGCUUUCUCAUUCUCCUGUGAGUGCUUGCUUUUCUGUAGAAACAUCCCCAGUCCUGUGGAUUUCUGAAGCCCAAUCUUCCUCUCCUCCAGAAAGUAGCCAUGGCCCCCAUCAGCAGAUGUGCAUAGCUGAGCUCCCUAGGCCAUCUCACCACCGACUUUGUAAACGACCACCUCCACAACGUAUUUUCUUUAGAGUUUACAGGAAUAAUGAAAGUGACAUAGAACUGUGCAGCCAGAUUCAAAUGAAAGGACAAAUGUAGUUGGCCAAAAUGAACAAUUAUAGGAAACAAAGGGAAAAUAACGAUUAAAGAUCUUUCAUUACAGCCCGCUAAUUAUCAUGAGUUCUGGACUUAACUGUUCAGGCAUAGAAUUAAAAACCUUAAUUAUAUUGUCA